UUGGCAGUUUGGUUAACACCAAGUUCUUGAGAUCUUGAAUAUCGGAUCGAUACAUGACAAUUGUGGCUUGAACAAGCUUUGGCGCAGCAGCUGGUUCUGGUUGAGGUUGAGGUUGAUAAUUCUCCUGCUGCUUUAUUUUUAUCUUUAAAUAAUGGCUCCAUAAAAUGUUAGUUAUCCCCUUGGGAUCUUUGAUCACACUCCUAUCAUAAAAUGGAACCGGGAACAAUACGGAUGAUGCCUCAUCUUUAUUAUCUCCGGUGCUGCAUAGUUGUUUGGCGAUUGAAGCCCAUGCCCGGAUGAAAUUGCACAUACUUUUUCCAUCGGCAGCGACGUGGGAAAUUGUAAAUCCGACAGUUGUGCCAUGGUUGGGAAAAAAGGUCACCUGAACAGCGAAGAGUGGAGAUACAACGCAGCCUCCCACGGAGGUACCGGGUGGAAGUUGAGGAACAAGAGGAAAUAAUUCAUUGACAUCUCGAGCGUGAUUCCCUGCUAAACGAUUGAAAUCUUUACUAGUGCACUCGGCAACUGUUAGUGAAACCGAGUCCCCAUUUAGGUAACGAAUUUGGGGGCUGCUGCUAGAAAGACUUGUUGAGGGGAUUAUGGAGUUACCGGCUAAUGGAAAGUAGUGUUUAAGAGCUAGGGAUAACGAAUUUUUGAGAUUUGGAACAAGUGUUUGGGUGAAGUCGGUUUUAGAGUUGGGUAAACCGUAGAAAAGAAGGCGGUGAACCGGAGGAACCAUAAGCCAUUUUAUGUCGAAAAAUGUGAGCGGUAAAGAGGUGUCAGCAACGGCACCUGGUGGUGGUGAGAUUCGGCAUUGCUCAAGGACGCUCACCAUCAUGUUGGUUGCACCCAUUGCAUUCCAAUCUCACUGCUAAUUCUUAAUUAAAUAGGGAUCGGAAAAACAAUUGCCAUUUUCGUAAUUAUGGUAUUCUAUACUUUCGUUCUUUAAUACUCCAUCCGUUCCGGAUUAAAAUCCUUGUCGAUUUUUUGCGCAUAUUAAGAAAGAGGAUAAAAUGACAAAAUUAUCCAUAUUUAAAUUUUCAUUUAAUUGCAUAAUUUUUUUGCACGUUACUAGUUAUGCUCCAUUAAUAUGCAUAAAAAAUAGAAAUAUAACAAUUAAUAAUAAGGAUAUUAUAGGCAAAUUAUUAUAAAAAAUAGAUCAUUUAAGGUAAAUAGACAUUUAACUUGAGACUACCUAAAAUAGUACUCCUUCCGUCCCAAAUUAAUUGCUCAGUUUUGACUUUUUAAAGUCAAAUUGACCAUUUUUAAAACUAAUCUUUUUACUAUUUUUGCUAAAAUAUAGACGAAGAGAUUAUAACCAAAAAAAGUAUAUACAAUUUAUUACCAAUCCUAAUUUUUAUAAUUUUAGAAAUAUAUUUAUAUAUGCUUAAUUAUUAAUUCUAAAUAGUCAAUUUAACUUUAAAAAAUCAAAACUGAGCAAUUAAUUUAGGACGGAGGAAGUAAUAAUGACUUUUGUCAUGUGACAGAGGGAGUAUAUGUUUUAAAGUUGUCUACAAAUAUUAAAAAAAUAAUUAUAUAACAUUAAAUAUAAUGUCAAUAGUUUAUAUUGUUCCUAUAUUAAAAAAAUGUUAUUUAUUAAACAGGAAAUAUUUAAAAAUUUAAAAUUAUAUUUAAUAUUUUAAAUAAUAUUAAAAAUUAAACAGUUAAUAUUUAAUUAAAAAAUUUAAACGCUAAAUAUUAAGAGACAAAAAUACUUCCAAAAAAUUAAACGUAUUGUGUGAUAUUUCUAGAAUCCUUCCCGUGAUAUUAAUCGUUAAACUUUCUUCGAAUACGCGUCAUGUUAAUCGUUAGCUGAGAAUGGGUCCCAUUGUGUGAUAUUUCUAGAAUCCUUCCUGUGAGAGUGCUACUACGAUAAACUCCCUCGAUUAAAUAAUAGUAAUUGAUUGUUUAUAUAUAUAUAUAUAUAUAUAUAUAUAUAAAUUUAUUUUAAUUUAUUUGUCAUUUAUAGGAAAUUCUCUCUUUAUACAAAUUUUAAUUAUUAAAUAAUUUUUUUUAAUUUAUGCUCAUAAAACUAAAAAAAUAUUAUUAUGGAAUAGAGGGCGUGUAUACACAAUUAUUGAGAUGGAAGAGAUCUAUUUUAAUUUAAUUAUGUGGGUACUGAAGGGGCUUGAAAAUGAUAUUUUUGGGCCAUGCACACGAACCGAAAAGAAAGAAGCAAUUAGUAGUUACUUUGUGAAAAAGAGUCGGAAAAAAUAAUCCCUAGACGACAAAACUUUCAUUUUCAUUUCAACAAUAAUAUUUCAUUCCAAUUACUAAAAUCACUAAUUAAGUAAUUAAGCUUCCAACUCCAUCAUCAGAAAUCAAUUAAACGUGGUUAGUGGAUCAUGGCAUUAAUUAUAUACAGUGGCGGAUCCACAUAAGGCGGGGCAACGCAUGUGUUCUCAAAUAUUAGUGAUGUUAGAGAAUAUCAUCAAAUAUAAAGCCAAGACAGAAAAUAAAAACAAAAUAUUUUAAAAUUUGGAGCUCGAGGGGAGCAACAAUUAAUAUUUCCGGCAAGAUCCCUUCUUGGUGGGGAGCAUCAGCUAGCUGCUGCUAGAUGUUUCUUUUAUUACACUAGCAUAAGAUUAAUUGACUAUUACUAUUACUAUUCCUAUUAUACUUCUCUCAUACUUUCUCUCAUCCGUAACAUUUUUUAAUGAUGAGUAAUUUUAUAAAGAUUAUGAUUAAUUCUCAUAGGUUAUGUUUGUUUGCAAAAAUUACACUUGAGAUAUGACUAUUAAUUUCAAGUGUUUUGUUUAUUUUCAAAUUUGAACUUGAAACUAUUAAUUUAGAGAUUAUAAAAUGACUUAAUAGUUGCAAACAAAUAUAACCCUAAAUUAUAUAAUGGGUUCUUUAUACUACUAUACAACAAUUAGAAAAUAAUUACAAGAUUAAUGCAUUCACAAAAUAAUUACAAAAAGAGUGCAACAUAUAAACUAUGUAACACUUACCAAAAAGUAUGGAGAUCAAAGUAGAAAGUAUUGAAAAAAAUAAAAGGAAAUUCACACUACUACUCUCUGAUCUCAUCAUGGUUGCACAUGUUAAAGAAAACAAAUUCAAGUAACACUUGGAAACUGUUCUGAAUUUUUUUUAUAAUUAAUUGGUAACCCAAUAAAAUUGAAUUAGUUACUUUUGUAUGAAAGUUUGGCCACCAACUGAACUAUGAAAAAAAAUGUACCGACGACAACCAUUGCAGAACUCAAUAAAACUGUUCAUGGUUGCACACGUUGAAGAAAACAAAUCCAGAUAACACUUGAAAAUUGUUCUUAAUUUUUUUAUAAUUAAUUGGUAACCCAAUAAAACUGAAUUGGUUACCUUUAUAUGAAGGUUUGGCUACGAACUGCAGUAUAAAAAAAAUGUACCGACUGCGAGUGCAGACAAGCGUUGACAAAGACGGAACGGACAUUCCCAAUUCCAGCAGAUACAUAAAACCCAGCCCACAACUCGUAUACUCUGAAACUAAAACCCUCCUCCAUUCCACAUAUCCAAAAUGAGAGAGAAAGAAAAUGACAUCAUUGUUCUUCUCUAAGCUCCCGAAACACCUAAUCUUACACCAAACCACCACCCACUUCUCAUAAUUCCGUGCAGUCAACACUGCCAUCAAGUCCGAGUCUGACCCUGUCAAGCUCGCCCAGCUCUUCUCCUCUUCCCAAGGGAUACCAAAUACACUAAUUUUGUAAAUAAAAUAUUAAAAAGGUAUCAACUCUGUAAAUAUUUUCUAAUAAUAUUAAAUAUUUACUAAUAGUAAACUUCAAAUUAAAAUAUUAAAUCAUAUUAAAUAUUAUUUAAUAUUAUUCUGCCCGAAUUUUUUUUUCCUGUGUCCUGAACUAGCGGAUGACGUAAUUGUAUUUUAAAUCUCAGCCCUAAAUUUAUGUAAUGUAUGAUGGACAGUGGCGAAACUAUACUAAAAAUGUGGGGUCAAUUGACCCCACUCAAUUUUUGAAAUCACUUAAAAAAAAAAAAAUUCCCCGCUUACUUUUUGACCCUCACUCAUUUUUUUACCCCACUCAAAAGGUAAACCGUGAACUAUCAAAGCCUUUCGCGAGUGAUCGGAGUGGGUACUGGUGACUGACGAGCCGCGAGUGUGAAGACUAAAGUGCAACUCUAUUCUAUUGCGACUCUCUUGCAGCCUUGUGCCCUUGCAGGUAACAAAAAUUACUAUCUCUUCAAUUUCUCCAACCUCAGUUUUGUUUUCAAAAAUCAAUUGUGAUUUCCCUCUUUUGUUAGUAUUAUUAAAUUGAAUAUUUAGAUGCAUUUGUCUAACCCGAAAGUAUAAAGUAAUAAAAAAAUUGGCUCGGGGGCGCUGCUCUCGAACCCCCGCCAAAUUUUUUAUAACUUAUUACUAAUUUUGACCCCAGUGCUAAAACUUCCUGGCUUCGCCACUGAUGAUGUGUAAGACCCCAACUUAUUAUAAAUAAAAUUGAAUUUUCCUUUAUUCAUUAUUCUAAAUUAAUAAGGGUUAAUUUGAUACAAUUCUUUGGUUAUGGGUGAAAUGUGCAAAGUUUACAAAAUAAGCAAGUGGUUAUAAAAUAUUCAUUAUUGUCGGGGAAUAUUCGUUUGGUCGUGGAAUAUUCUUUUUGUCGGGAAUCUCCGUACGACGGCGCAGUCAUUGGUGGGCCCCAUAACGGAAAACGGUUGGAUGAAGGAAAACGACAAAGAUUGAGUUUUAUAAAUAACGACGUAAAUUGUUACCGUUAACACUGUUGGGUUACCUGGUGGUUAAAAUACAGUAAUACGCGUGGUUGCACAGUAGCACACGGUAUUGCACAGUAUUAUUGAAUUAUUGAUCCUUACGUAAGAAGGCACUACUCAAUAAUUGUUACAGUAGUUACUGUUCAAUAUUAUAUUUUAUUGAUUCAAUAAUUGCUGCGUUGAUAUUUUGUAUUGCUGUUGUUUCAAUAAUUGUCAUUACACAGUAUUUUCCAUUAUCAAAUCAAUAAUUCAUAUUAUUUGAAUAAUAUUAUCAGAUAACAUUAUUGGCAAUGUCUAGAAAGUUCUGUCUAAGGAGAGGUUUGGUCACCUAAUUGCGCGCCAGUAAGGAGAAAUCCUUAUUGGAAAGCCCCCUCUUUCCUGGGAACGGCCUGGUUGUCAGUACUGUGAUUCUGUAAUAUUAUUUUUAAAUAAUUAAUUAUUGAUUAUUAUGAUAAAGAAAAUAUUUAUUUUAUGUGGAUAUAGAUGGAGAAAAUUUUUAAUGUGACAAUUGUUGAAAAUUAAUAUUUUAUCUUUUUCUGAUAAAAUAAUUCAUUUAAAUAUAUUAUUUUAAUAAUAUAUUAACGGUGAUAUUUUUAUAAUGAAUGUGGGAUAUAUGAGUAUAUGAGGAGGUAGAGUAUUUUGUGGCAUUAAAUGUUUAACAUAUGUUUUGUGUGUCGGUGGACACAAUUCUUGACCGAAAAUUGAUUAUAGACUGUAAAAUCGUCCGUUUAUGGAUUUCGGUCAAUUUCUGUUUGGAAUUUGGAAAAAUUUUCUUCUGCAAAGUUGUAGAGAAUGGAAUUUCCCAUGGAAAGUCGCGAGUUUCGAAUUUUUCUGAUAAACGAGCUAUUUUCUACGAAUUAUUGAAGUUUCGGAAGAUAAAAUAAUUUUUAUUAAAUAAUGGGUGGGACCCACUCUUGUUUGAACAUGUGGGCUGCUGGAAAUUGGGUCAAGGUUGGCUGGUGGCUGAAGUGUUCAAAUGGCAUGCGUAGAAAUGUAAUUUUAAAUAAUAAUAAUUUAUUAAUUUAGUCUCCUUUGGCGUUCUAACAUUUUCCUAUAAAUAGAGGGCUAAGUUAGAAUUGAAAAUCACACCAGAAACUAAGUUUUCUCUCUUUCUCUCUCUAAAUUAUCGAGCGUAUUCUUGUGAGUAUACUUUGAGUGUUGCUAUACGGUGCGGGUUUCUGUCAGCACUAUACCGAAAUUCAGUCAGAAGUACGGUUAUUUUGAGGUAAGGGGUAUUAUUUUCUUCUUAAAUGAUAUUUUUUCUUCAAUAUCAUUAUGCCGAAGUAUUGGUGAACUUUUUUAUCAAAUUUGGAACUUGUUGUGUCGGGGUUACUAUUCACGUAUACGGCACUAUUCACGUAUACGACACUAUUCACGAAUACGGCACUAUUCACCGAAAAAUAAAAAUUUUUCUUUUUGUCCAAAAUAUCUAUUCUGGAUACUAGCUUUGAUUGUAUCCAUGUUUUGAUCAUUCUUGAAUUUUACACCAAUAUGAUUAUUUUCGAAGUAUUUUUGGACAUGGGUAAAACAAAGUACGAAUCCUUAAUCCUUAAUCCUUGUCAUUUUGUUUCACUGGAUUCGUUUCUUUAAAAAUGUUUUUCAUCAUCCUCAGUCCUAAAUGGUGAUAUAAAUGAAUAUCUUUGGCCUGUAGUGCAAAGAUGAACGAUUAACUGAUGAAUAUCUUUGGCCUGUAGUGCAAAGAUGAACAGGUGUUGAGAUGAACAUGACCAACUGGUGAUACAAAUGAAUAUCUUUGGCCUGUAGUGCAAAGAUGAUUAAAGAUGUAUAUUGAUUGUUAUUACAGGGAUAAACUAUUGAUGAUGGACUUUUAAACCUUAGAAGACAGUAGAAUUCUUUCUCUACGUGACUCUUCUAAUGGAUUGCUGUUUCCGCUGCAUUUGUUGAUCUAAAACUUGUUGUCUAUUGUAUUCUAUUAGAUUUUUCCCUGUUGAAGACUAACGAUAAUUUGUUGUAUAUUAUCUUAGUCAUAAUAUUCUUUACUGGGCUAGUUGAGCUCACCCUUUUCCUUUUUGUUCCAUUUUUCUUCUCAGGAGGUGAGAACAUAGCAGGAUCGAGUCGGGGUAUGGAGUGAUGGUUCUAGGAAGAUGUUUUAGCUGUCCUCACUAUUUCUGUAAAAUAGUGUAUGAAUAAUUAAUGAGGACUUAUUUGGGUGUGUAUAUUGUCUAGAAGACAAUAUUUGUAUUCAAACUCACAGUUGUAUUGUCGUAUUCUACACGACAUCUGUAUUGUCAAAGUUGUAGUUUGCUUUCUAUACCAUGUAUUUUGGCGACUCAGAAUGGGUGUUGUAUACCUAUUUUGGGGGCGUCACAGUUGGUAUCAGAGCUUAGGGAUAUGAUCUCUGGCGGAGAUCGGGGAAUAGAACUAGGAGGGGAGAGACGAGUAAAUCCUUCGCUAGUGUGUCCUACCUAAGCUUAUUUGUUGGUCGGUCAUAAUAUAGGAUAUUAUGUGAUAUGUUAAUUUGUUUAAUUAACCCUUGUUUUAUGGCAGUAUUUAAGAAUGGCUGCUGAGAACGUUAACAAUGGAGUUUAUGAGACCGUGGAGACGCCGGUACUCACCAACGAGGAGAACGUGCAACAGGCUGGCAAUGUUCCUCCUGUGAACAACGCCACUGAGCAAAUGAUGAACGACGGGAUGUUUAGAAGCUUUUUGCAGUUCAUGCAAAAUCAGACAAGGGAGACUCGUGUACAAAAUACGGGUGGAAAUGAUGGCAAUGCACGGUCUGUCACAGCCAAGCAGUUCAAGGAGUUGGGACCACCAGAUUUCCAUGGAAAGCCGGAUCCGAUCAAGGCAGAAACGUGGGUCAAGCAAAUUACCAAGAUAUUCGAUGUCUUGGGGUGCACGGAGGAACAGAAGGUUCCAUUCGCCACCUUUAUGUUUCGUGGUGAAGCAGAUUACUGGUGGGAAUCUGUGAAGCGUACCCAGCCAGAUGCACUUAACAUGUCUUGGGAAAGAUUUCAGAAACUGUUCAAUGACAAGUACUUUCCAGAAAGUAUUCGUCAUAUGAAGGAGGUAGAGUUUAUUAGACUCGAACAGAACAACAUGACGGUGUCUCAGUACGAGGCAAGGUUCGCAGAAUUAUCCAGGUUUGCACCUCAUUUGGUGGAGAAUGAGGAACGAAUGACGCGUAUGUUUCUGAGAGGUCUAAAACCAGAGAUUCGUCAAUACCUUAUCUCUCAUAAAUUUUCUCUGUAUUCAGAUGUUGUCAACAGGGCUCAGUUAUUAGAGCGAGAUAGUGAGUAUACUCAACCGAGGGACCACAAUCAGGGUAGUCAUCAGAACGAUGAUAACCAGCGAGGAGGAAAGAAUACGGACAAAGGCGGUAACCACUCAGGUGGUAAUCGUGGACAUGAUAAUAGGAGAGGUGACUCAAGUGGAAAUUUCAGAAAGAGAAGAUUCAACAAUGACGGGAAGAUAUCAACGGCAGCACCAGCACCAACAACAAAUGCUAGGGGAGGAGAACGACCGCCAGUUAGAUGUUACAAAUGCGGGAAGGAGGGACAUAUCAGCCCAAACUGUCCACAACAAUCCAAGGUAUGUUACAACUGUGGAAAGGAAGGCCACAUCGCUCGAGAUUGUACUAUCGCGAAACCAAGUUCAGCAGGAGUGGUGAUUCCAAGGGCUGUCCCGGAUAAGUCGAAAUCAGCGGUUCCUGGAAGAGCGUUUGUCGUGACUGGACAAAACGUGAGGAACCCAAACGAGGUGAUCACGGGUAAGCUAAUCUUGAAUUCUUGCGAAGUUUAUACCUUACUAGAUACCGGUUCUACCCAUUCUUUUAUCUCUCCUGCUUGUGCUCAACGUUUAAACUUGACUCCGGAGAAAUUAGAUUUUGAUUUAUCUGUUGAAACUCCGUUGGGUGAAACCUUCGUUACAUCUACAGUUUAUAAAUCUUGCAUGAUCCAAGUUGGCACUAUCACAUUACCUGUUGAUCUUAUCUCUUUAAAGAUACUUGCUUUUGAUGUGAUUUUAGGAAUUGAUUGGUUAACCACUCAUCAUGCCAAAAUUGAUUGUUUUCGUAAGGUUGUUAGUUUUCAUAUUCCUAACCAACCUGUCAUACGAAUUCAAACCACUAAACCACUAAAAUCAGUCACUGUCAUAUCAAGCCACAAAGCUAUUCGUUUAUUGAAAAACGGAUGUCAAGCUUUCUUAGCCCAUGUUAUGGAUUUGAAUAAAGACAAGUCAGAUUUGAAUAAUAUUUCUGUGGUUAGAGAAUUCCCUGAUGUAUUUCCUGAAGAGCUUCCCGGUCUACCCCCAGAACGUGAUGUUGAAUUCUUUAUUGACCUUGAACCGGGUACAAAGCCCAUUUCUAAAACCCCAUAUCGAAUGGCUCCUAUUGAACUUCAGGAGUUAAAAGUCCAACUACAGGAGUUAUUAGACAUCGGUUUCAUUCGUCCUAGUACGUCUCCUUGGGGUGCUCCUGUUUUAUUCGUAAAGAAGAAAGACGGGAGUAUGCGACUUUGUAUUGACUAUCGAGAAUUGAACCAUGUCACCAUCAAGAAUAGGUAUCCGCUACCUCGCAUUGAUGACCUGUUCGACCAGUUACAAGGAGCGCAAUUCUUUUCAAAGAUCGAUCUUCGUUCUGGAUAUCAUCAGCUGAAGAUUAAAACUGAGGAUAUUCCAAAGACGGCAUUCAGGACUCGAUACGGGCAUUAUGAAUUCUUGGUCAUGUCUUUUGGAUUGACUAAUGCUCCUGCUGCUUUCAUGGAUAUGAUGAACCGUGUAUUUAAGGAAUAUUUGGAUCAGUUCGUUGUUGUCUUUAUUGAUGACAUCCUCAUCUAUUCCAAAAGCCGUGAAGAUCAUGAGCACCAUUUGAAGCUGGUACUACAAAGACUUCGUGAACACAAGCUUUAUGCCAAGCUGAAGAAAUGCGAGUUCUGGCUUGAGGAAGUAGCAUUCCUUGGGCACGUGGUGUCAAAACAAGGAGUAUCUGUUGACCCGGCGAAGAUUGAAGCAAUACAAAGUUGGGAGCAACCGAAGUCGGUGACCGAAGUACGCAGCUUUCUGGGCUUAGCUGGUUAUUAUCGGAGAUUUGUGGAAGGAUUUUCUCGAAUCGCUACUCCGUUAACUCAGCUGACUCGGAAGGAUGCAAAAUUCUUAUGGAGCGAGGAAUGCGAGAAGAGCUUCCAAGAGCUCAAGAGGAGACUCAUUUCGGCACCUGUUCUGACAAUACCAUCUGGUUCAGAUGGAUUUGUUAUCUACAGCGAUGCUUCUGGCAAGGGGUUAGGAUGUGUUCUCAUGCAACAUGGGAAAGUCAUAGCCUAUGCCUCACGACAACUCAAAGAAUAUGAGAGGAAUUAUCCUACUCAUGAUCUGGAGUUGGCAGCAGUCGUGUUUGCGUUGAAGAUAUGGAGACACUACUUGUACGGGGAGAAAGUAGAGAUUUAUACGGAUCAUAAAAGCCUCAAAUAUUUCUUCACCCAAAAAGAACUCAACAUGCGGCAACGACGUUGGCUGGAGCUGUUAAAAGAUUACGAUCACACUAUUCAAUAUCAUCCUGGAAAAGCGAACGUAGUAGCUGACGCAUUAAGUAGAAGAUCAUAUGCAAGUACGAGUGCGAUAUUGUCAACGCAAAGGCCCAUUUUGUAUGACUUGCAAAGGAUGGAGGUAGAAUUAAAGACUCCAGGGACCCACAUAAUGAUGGCGAAUAUACAAGUAGAACCGACUUUAAUCGAUAAAGUUAAAGCUGCUCAAGCUACGGACCUGGGGCUGAUGCGUAUGAAGAAGAAAGUGCAAGAAGGAGCUAUUCCGGAAGCAAGAAUUGAUGAGGAAGGAAUACUUCGAGUCAAUUCUAGACUUUGCGUUCCUAACGAUUCUGACCUGAAGCAUAAAAUCAUGAUGGAGGCACACAACACCCCGUUUGCAAUCCAUCCUGGGAGUACCAAAAUGUAUCAUGAUAUUCGACAUACAUUUUGGUGGAACAAUAUGAAGAGAGAGAUUGCGGAGUUUAUCUCAAGAUGUUUAACCUGUCAACGUGUAAAGGCGGAGCAUCAAGUGCCAAAAGGUCCAUUGCAACCACUUGAGAUUCCGGAAUGGAAAUGGGAACACAUUACUAUGGAUUUUGUUACAGGUCUUCCCAAAGUUUCUCAAGGCGUAGAUGCAAUUUGGGUUAUUGUUGAUAGAUUAACCAAGUCUGCCCAUUUCUUACCGAUACGCGAGACUUAUCCCCUUGAACGUCUUGCUCGUAUGUACGUGAAUGAGAUUGUACGAUUGCAUGGCAUGCCAGUAUCCAUAGUUUCGGAUCGUGACCCGAGAUUCACUUCAAGAUUUUGGGUUAGCUUGCAGAAAGCUAUGGGCACGGAUUUACGAUUCAGUUCAGCAUACCAUCCUCAAACGGACGGACAAUCAGAGAGGACUAUUCAAACCCUUGAAGAUCUAUUAAGACUCUGUGUCCUAGAUUUCAAAGGAAGUUGGGAUAAGUACCUACCACUGGUGGAAUUCUCCUACAACAACAGUUAUCAAGCAAGUAUAGGCAUGGCUCCAUUUGAGGCGUUGUAUGGACGAAAAUGUCGUUCUCCAGUAUGCUGGGACGAGGUGGGAGAAGCAACAUUGUUGGGACCAGAAUUAGUACGCAUGACUACAGAAAAGAUCCAAAUGAUUCGACAACGUAUUCAAACUUCACAAGAUCGACAAAAGAGUUAUGCUGAUCUUCAUAGAAAGGACGUGGAGUUUAAUAUUGGAGAUCAUGUAUUGUUACGUAUUGCUCCAUGGAAAGGAGUUACAAGAUUUGGGAAAAGAGGAAAGCUCAAUCCAAGGUUUGUUGGUCCAUUUGAGAUUCUUGACCGAAUAGGAAACGUAGCCUAUAGACUCGCGUUACCUCCAAGUAUGUCUCGUGUUCACAAUGUAUUCCACAUAUCUAUGCUUCGUAAAUAUGUGAAAGACCCGAACCACAUUAUUGCAUUAGAACCAGACGAGAUAGCUGAAGAUUUAACCUACGAGGAGAUACCUGUUGAGAUUUUGGAUAGGAAAGAGCAUGUCUUACGCACGAAGGUUAUACCACAAGUUAAGGUUUUGUGGAGAAACCAUGCAAUUGAGGAAAUGACAUGGGAGUUGGAAUCGGAGAUGAAAGCGAGGUACCCUCACCUUUUCGAUAUACCAGGUACGUACGUCAAUUUCGAGGACGAAAUUUCAUAAGGAGGGGAGGUUGUAAGACCCCAACUUAUUAUAAAUAAAAUUGAAUUUUCCUUUAUUCAUUAUUCUAAAUUAAUAAGGGUUAAUUUGAUAUAAUUCUUUGGUUAUGGGUGAAAUGUGCAAAGUUUACAAAAUAAGCAAGUGGUUAUAAAAUAUUCAUUAUUGUCGGGGAAUAUUCGUUUGGUCGUGGAAUAUUCUUUUUGUCGGGAAUCUCCGUACGACGGCGCAGUCAUUGGUGGGCCCCAUAACGGAAAACGGUUGGAUGAAGGAAAACGACAAAGAUUGAGUUUUAUAAAUAACGACGUAAAUUGUUACCGUUAACACUGUUGGGUUACCUGGUGGUUAAAAUACAGUAAUACGCGUGGUUGCACAGUAGCACACGGUAUUGCACAGUAUUAUUGAAUUAUUGAUCCUUACGUAAGAAGGCACUACUCAAUAAUUGUUACAGUAGUUACUGUUCAAUAUUAUAUUUUAUUGAUUCAAUAAUUGCUGCGUUGAUAUUUUGUAUUGCUGUUGUUUCAAUAAUUGUCAUUACACAGUAUUUUCCAUUAUCAAAUCAAUAAUUCAUAUUAUUUGAAUAAUAUUAUCAGAUAACAUUAUUGGCAAUGUCUAGAAAGUUCUGUCUAAGGAGAGGUUUGGUCACCUAAUUGCGCGCCAGUAAGGAGAAAUCCUUAUUGGAAAGCCCCCUCUUUCCUGGGAACGGCCUGGUUGUCAGUACUGUGAUUCUGUAAUAUUAUUUUUAAAUAAUUAAUUAUUGAUUAUUAUGAUAAAGAAAAUAUUUAUUUUAUGUGGAUAUAGAUGGAGAAAAUUUUUAAUGUGACAAUUGUUGAAAAUUAAUAUUUUAUCUUUUUCUGAUAAAAUAAUUCAUUUAAAUAUAUUAUUUUAAUAAUAUAUUAACGGUGAUAUUUUUAUAAUGAAUGUGGGAUAUAUGAGUAUAUGAGGAGGUAGAGUAUUUUGUGGCAUUAAAUGUUUAACAUAUGUUUUGUGUGUCGGUGGACACAAUUCUUGACCGAAAAUUGAUUAUAGACUGUAAAAUCGUCCGUUUGUGGAUUUCGGUCAAUUUCUGUUUGGAAUUUGGAAAAAUUUUCUUCUGCAAAGUUGUAGAGAAUGGAAUUUCCCAUGGAAAGUCGCGAGUUUCGAAUUUUUCUGAUAAACGAGCUAUUUUCUACGAAUUAUUGAAGUUUCGGAAGAUAAAAUAAUUUUUAUUAAAUAAUGGGUGGGACCCACUCUUGUUUGAACAUGUGGGCUGCUGGAAAUUGGGUCAAGGUUGGCUGGUGGCUGAAGUGUUCAAAUGGCAUGCGUAGAAAUGUAAUUUUAAAUAAUAAUAAUUUAUUAAUUUAGUCUCCUUUGGCGUUCUAACAUUUUCCUAUAAAUAGAGGGCUAAGUUAGAAUUGAAAAUCACACCAGAAACUAAGUUUUCUCUCUUUCUCUCUCUAAAUUAUCGAGCGUAUUCUUGUGAGUAUACUUUGAGUGUUGCUAUACGGUGCGGGUUUCUGUCAGCACUAUACCGAAAUUCAGUCAGAAGUACGGUUAUUUUGAGGUAAGGGGUAUUAUUUUCUUCUUAAAUGAUAUUUUUUCUUCAAUAUCAUUAUGCCGAAGUAUUGGUGAACUUUUUUAUCAAAUUUGGAACUUGUUGUGUCGGGGUUACUAUUCACGUAUACGGCACUAUUCACGUAUACGACACUAUUCACGAAUACGGCACUAUUCACCGAAAAAUAAAAAUUUUUCUUUUUGUCCAAAAUAUCUAUUCUGGAUACUAGCUUUGAUUGUAUCCAUGUUUUGAUCAUUCUUGAAUUUUACACCAAUAUGAUUAUUUUCGAAGUAUUUUUGGACAUGGGUAAAACAAAGUACGAAUCCUUAAUCCUUAAUCCUUGUCAUUUUGUUUCACUGGAUUCGUUUCUUUAAAAAUGUUUUUCAUCAUCCUCAGUCCUAAAUGGUGAUAUAAAUGAAUAUCUUUGGCCUGUAGUGCAAAGAUGAACGAUUAACUGAUGAAUAUCUUUGGCCUGUAGUGCAAAGAUGAACAGGUGUUGAGAUGAACAUGACCAACUGGUGAUACAAAUGAAUAUCUUUGGCCUGUAGUGCAAAGAUGAUUAAAGAUGUAUAUUGAUUGUUAUUACAGGGAUAAACUAUUGAUGAUGGACUUUUAAACCUUAGAAGACAGUAGAAUUCUUUCUCUACGUGACUCUUCUAAUGGAUUGCUGUUUCCGCUGCAUUUGUUGAUCUAAAACUUGUUGUCUAUUGUAUUCUAUUAGAUUUUUCCCUGUUGAAGACUAACGAUAAUUUGUUGUAUAUUAUCUUAGUCAUAAUAUUCUUUACUGGGCUAGUUGAGCUCACCCUUUUCCUUUUUGUUCCAUUUUUCUUCUCAGGAGGUGAGAACAUAGCAGGAUCGAGUCGGGGUAUGGAGUGAUGGUUCUAGGAAGAUGUUUUAGCUGUCCUCACUAUUUCUGUAAAAUAGUGUAUGAAUAAUUAAUGAGGACUUAUUUGGGUGUGUAUAUUGUCUAGAAGACAAUAUUUGUAUUCAAACUCACAGUUGUAUUGUCGUAUUCUACACGACAUCUGUAUUGUCAAAGUUGUAGUUUGCUUUCUAUACCAUGUAUUUUGACGACUCAGAAUGGGUGUUUUAUACCUAUUUUGGGGGUGUCACAUAUUGAGAUGUUAUUUAUAUAUGUAUAUAGUGGCACUAUAGAUGAGACUUUGAAAUCGAAACAUGUAAAUUGGAUGGAACCAGUCGUUAAUAGAAAAUGUUGAAAAUAUUAACACUACAGUAAUGAUCUCACCUUAACUAGUCCUUCAGCAAACAGUGCGGAACCAGAACAUUUUUGUAGGGGGGUCAAAUUUUUUAACCCAAGGCCGAAAUUAUUAAUACCACCACUUGCUUCGGAACUUAAUAAUUAAUUAUUAUUAUUUUUUUGUCAGCAAAAAGUCUUUUUAGGUAAUGAAACAAAAAUUUGUGGUAGAACCAAAAUACCAUAUCUACAAACCAUAGUUUCGAAAUAUGAAUGCACACUCACUGAUAACAAAAAUUACCUCCAAAGAUAACAUCACAUAAUACAAUUGAUUAUACAAAAGUCAUCCAUUGGAAUUAUACUUAACUUAGUUUAUACACUAGUUUUCUUGAAGCUUCUUGUUCAUAUCUGUCAUCAAAAGGCGUCGCUAGAUUUAAGAAAACAGAAAUCAAACAAUAAUUUAAGAUUAUUCCAACAGUAACAAUUUUGAAAACUAAAUUACUAAAAGAUUAAAGAUAUAAACAUUAAAUUAUUAAAAUUCAUCAAAAAUCUUUCUCUUAGGAUUCUCAAAAGCCAAACAAAGGUAAAAGAAAAUAAAAAUUAAUUUAAAAUAAUUGGAAAAAUUAAAACAAACCUAAAUUAAAGAAAAAAUUAAAUAAAAGAAAAGCCUGAUCAAUAAAACUGAACUCCCAACCUUUUGGAUUCACCUAUAAAAGAAACCCUUGAUAAUUUUUUAUGUCCGUUUUCAAAUUAACUAGAUCUGAAUAUCUAAUAACUAUACAGUUUCAGAAAUAACCCAUAUCAAUGGAAAAAAAGUUAAUGGAUUUUGCAAUCCCAAUUUGCUUAUCCAUUUUGCUAGGUCUAAUCGUAUACUCCUUUCAAAGCCCGAAAUCUUAUUAUUCAUUCUUAAAUUUUAUAUCUANNNNNNNNNNNNNNNNNNNNNNNNNNNNNNNNNNNNNNNNNNNNNNNNNNNNNNNNNNNNNNNNNNNNNNNNNNNNNNNNNNNNNNNNNNNNNNNNNNNNUCAGUUAGUUGGAGAGUUAAUGAUUUUUCUUGUUAGGUGUGUUUGGUUUAGCCGAAUUUGAGCACAGGUUCGGUUAUUACCCGAAUAUUCGAAUUUACAAUUCGGUAAUUCGGUUUUCGGUUAUUCGGUUAGUUUCAUAUUUCGGGUAGCAUUUCGGAUAGUAGAAUUAGCUAUAAUUCGGUAUUCGGUUAUAACCGAAUAGUCAUUUCGGUUCGGUUAUAACCGAAUGCUCACUCUAGUCUGCAACUAAUGAAUAACAUAAAAGUGCAAAUCUUUUAAAGAGUGAAAUUCUAUAGAGAGAACACAUAAAAGUAAAAAUAGGAAACUGAUAUUUUUAUUUAUGAUUGUGAUCAUAAAGAAAAAGAAAAAGAAAAUUUGUAUCCCCCAAGGAAAUUAAAGCUGCUGGCGCCGGACAAGGCCAACUACUAGUUUAGAAAACACAGGAACUGUUUAAUUAAUGGACUAGGAUGAUCAUAAUAAUAUACGGAGUAAUAUUAAAAUUAAGAUUUGAGAACUUCUCUGGCUUUAGCUUAGAAAAAGCAACAUUCUUCUAAGCUAAUUAAUCAAGGUUUCACCUUAACUAGUCCUUUGGCAAAGAUAUUAGUGAAAGCUUCGACCAAAUUCUUAGGGAAGCAAACUCCAAUUUCCACAUCUCCUUCCGAAUUAAGGGAACAUUUCUGGGAAACAACUUCAAGCUUUUUUGGUGUCCCCCACCCAAAAUCUGUACUAUAAUAGUCAAACUUCGGUGAUCCAGCAAUCAUAAAAGCCUUCUGCGUCGUGAUCGUUUCAAAGCCGGCGUACCACAACUCUGCGUCUUUCAAGACUCCUCCCUCCUCAUUAUUUACCUUUCUAUGAAUAGNNNNNNNNNNNNNNNNNNNNNNNNNNNNNNNNNNNNNNNNNNNNNNNNNNNNNNNNNNNNNNNNNNNNNNNNNNNNNNNNNNNNNNNNNNNNNNNNNNNNCGUUAAUAGAAAAUGUUGAAAAUAUUAACACUACAGUAAUGAUCUCACCUUAACUAGUCCUUCAGCAAACAGUGCGGAACCAGAACAUUUUUGUAGGGGGGUCAAAUUUUUUAACCCAAGGCCGAAAUUAUUAAUACCACCACUUGCUUCGGAACUUAAUAAUUAAUUAUUAUUAUUUUUUUGUCAGCAAAAAGUCUUUUUAGGUAAUGAAACAAAAAUUUGUGGUAGAACCAAAAUACCAUAUCUACAAACCAUAGUUUCGAAAUAUGAAUGCACACUCACUGAUAACAAAAAUUACCUCCAAAGAUAACAUCACAUAAUACAAUUGAUUAUACAAAAGUCAUCCAUUGGAAUUAUACUUAACUUAGUUUAUACACUAGUUUUCUUGAAGCUUCUUGUUCAUAUCUGUCAUCAAAAGGCGUCGCUAGAUUUAAGAAAACAGAAAUCAAACAAUAAUUUAAGAUUAUUCCAACAGUAACAAUUUUGAAAACUAAAUUACUAAAAGAUUAAAGAUAUAAACAUUAAAUUAUUAAAAUUCAUCAAAAAUCUUUCUCUUAGGAUUCUCAAAAGCCAAACAAAGGUAAAAGAAAAUAAAAAUUAAUUUAAAAUAAUUGGAAAAAUUAAAACAAACCUAAAUUAAAGAAAAAAUUAAAUAAAAGAAAAGCCUGAUCAAUAAAACUGAACUCCCAACCUUUUGGAUUCACCUAUAAAAGAAACCCUUGAUAAUUUUUUAUGUCCGUUUUCAAAUUAACUAGAUCUGAAUAUCUAAUAACUAUACAGUUUCAGAAAUAACCCAUAUCAAUGGAAAAAAAGUUAAUGGAUUUUGCAAUCCCAAUUUGCUUAUCCAUUUUGCUAGGUCUAAUCGUAUACUCCUUUCAAAGCCCGAAAUCUUAUUAUUCAUUCUUAAAUUUUAUAUCUAUUUUUUAUAUAACAAUUUGAAUAAAAUAAGUAAUAUUACUUUCGAUUUAACAUGUUAUUUUUUUAAAAUGUUAAUAUUUUGGUCUUAUUUUCAAAAUUAUUUAUUUUAAUGAUAAAUUUCAUUUUUUUAAAAUUUUAUUCUUUAAUUAAAUUUUUGUACAUAUUUUAUUAUGAUUUAGAUUUUUUAAUGUUUUUUUAGUUAUCUAUGUUCAGAUUUUUUAUUUUGAAGUAAAAAAAAAUUGUAGUAAUAAUUAUGCAUUAAACGUGAGUUUUUUAACUUCAAUUCAAAAUAUUUUGAUAUCCCUUUCAAGUGAGUAGCGUGUACAAGUCUGCAAUAGGAGUGAGCAAAAAACGGAUAAAAUCGAACUAUCGAAUCGAACCGAACUAUUUUAACCGAAUUAUUUCGGUUUUUAAUUUUUUUUGAAAUUUCGAUUAUAUUCGAAUUAUUAUUAAAAAAUUAAAUUUUAUAAUAUUAUCUAUAACUUCCAUGAGUAUUUUAUAAUAAUAUCUAUAACUUCUAUCAGUAUUCACUCGCCAGAUCUGAGAUCUAUAACUUCUAUGAGUAUCAGAUCUGAGAUACAAGAUGUUCACUCGCCAGAUCUGAGAUCGAUUCCUCACUCCUUAGUCCUCACUCCUCAGCAUCUUGUCUCUCUCGACUCUCGACUGUCGAUCUCCGCGCCUCUUAACUCUCAAUCUCCGCGCCUCUCGUCGUCGCCGACUGUCUGUCUCUUCGUGCCUCUCGUCGUCGCCGAUUGAGCCGGAAAUGAGGUAGGCGAGGCGGGGUGGAAGAGGAAGAGAGGAGAUGGGUAGUGGGUGGAGCUUGGAUUCGACGAAGACGUCGCCGACUGUCUGUCUCUUCGUGCCUCUCGUCGUCGCCGAUUGAGCCGGAAAUGAGGUAGGCGAGGUGGGGUGGAAGAGGAAGAGAGGAGAUGGAUAGUGGGUGGAGCUUGGAUUCGACAAAGACGGAGGCGGAAGAGCCGUCGGUGGUGGCGUAACGGUGGAGGGGGGGGGAUGGGAGUUCUGUUCUGCAACAGUAUAACCAAAAAGAUGAAGACUGCUCACUCCAAUAUUAAUGAAGGUCCAAUCAGCCCAGCAAAAGCAUUUUACACCAUAAACACCUAUAGAGGCGCAUCCCUUUGAUUCAAUAGCUUCCGCUUUGCAUUAUGUAAGAUCACUUAGUAAUAUGUUCUAUGCAAUUUAGUGCAGUUAAACACGGAGUGGGACAACUGUUAUGCAAUUUGUACUUUAUUUGUAAAUAUUCUGCUGCAUUUGUUGAAUUCAGUUAGUUGGAGAGUUAAUGAUUUUUCUUGUUAGGUGUGUUUGGUUUAGCCGAAUUUGAGCACAGGUUCGGUUAUUACCCGAAUAUUCGAAUUUACAAUUCGGUAAUUCGGUUUUCGGUUAUUCGGUUAGUUUCAUAUUUCGGGUAGCAUUUCGGAUAGUAGAAUUAGCUAUAAUUCGGUAUUCGGUUAUAACCGAAUAGUCAUUUCGGUUCGGUUAUAACCGAAUGCUCACUCUAGUCUGCAACUAAUGAAUAACAUAAAAGUGCAAAUCUUUUAAAGAGUGAAAUUCUAUAGAGAGAACACAUAAAAGUAAAAAUAGGAAACUGAUAUUUUUAUUUAUGAUUGUGAUCAUAAAGAAAAAGAAAAAGAAAAUUUGUAUCCCCCAAGGAAAUUAAAGCUGCUGGCGCCGGACAAGGCCAACUACUAGUUUAGAAAACACAGGAACUGUUUAAUUAAUGGACUAGGAUGAUCAUAAUAAUAUACGGAGUAAUAUUAAAAUUAAGAUUUGAGAACUUCUCUGGCUUUAGCUUAGAAAAAGCAACAUUCUUCUAAGCUAAUUAAUCAAGGUUUCACCUUAACUAGUCCUUUGGCAAAGAUAUUAGUGAAAGCUUCGACCAAAUUCUUAGGGAAGCAAACUCCAAUUUCCACAUCUCCUUCCGAAUUAAGGGAACAUUUCUGGGAAACAACUUCAAGCUUUUUUGGUGUCCCCCACCCAAAAUCUGUACUAUAAUAGUCAAACUUCGGUGAUCCAGCAAUCAUAAAAGCCUUCUGCGUCGUGAUCGUUUCAAAGCCGGCGUACCACAACUCUGCGUCUUUCAAGACUCCUCCCUCCUCAUUAUUUACCUUUCUAUGAAUAGUCUCUCCUAUCCCUUCAGCUGCCGCCACAAUCCCUUCCUCUCCUACUAAUUCCGCGCUCUUUCGGGUUGCCGAACAACCCACUAAGCAAUUCCCAAAGUAAGUAUCAGGUAAGGGUGGAUCCAAACGAGCGCGACAAUCCAUCACAAAUAUGAAAUUCUCUUCUUCAUUUUCAUCGCGCACCUCCUGGCCAAUAGCCACACGUGCUUUUGCCAUACAGGACCAUAGAUAAGCACAUACCACCGUAAAAGAUGAGACGUGUGCUAAUAUUGGCAGUUUGGUUAACACCAAGUUCUUGAGAUCUUGAAUAUCGGAUCGAUACAUGACAAUUGUGGCUUGAACAAGCUUUGGCGCAGCAGCUGGUUCUGGUUGAGGUUGAGGUUGAUAAUUCUCCUGCUGCUUUAUUUUUAUCUUUAAAUAAUGGCUCCAUAAAAUGUUAGUUAUCCCCUUGGGAUCUUUGAUCACACUCCUAUC
rnacentral:lncRNA from 1 species